rnacentral:rRNA from 1 species
AGCGCAGGCGGGUUGGCAAGUCCUUGGUGAAAUCCUGAGGCUUAACCUCAGGACUGCCAAUGAUACUGCCGAUCUUGAGUGCAGAAGAGGAAGACGGAAUUCCUGGUGUAGCGGUGAAAUGCGUAGAUAUCAGGAAGAACACCGGUGGCGAAGGCGGUCUUCUGGUCUGUAACUGACGCUCAUGCUCGAAAGCGUGGGGAGCAAACAGGAUUAGACUACCCUGGUAGUCCACGCCCUAAACGAUGGAUACUCGAUGGUCGGGUCGCAAGGCCCGGUGUCCAAGCUAACGCGUUAAGUACUCCCACCUGGGGAGUACGAUCGCAAGGUUGAA